rnacentral:rRNA from 1 species
UGGGGAAUAUUGCACAAUGGGCGCAAGCCUGAUGCAGCGACGCCGCGUGAGGGAUGAAGGCCUUCGGGUUGUAAACCUCUUUCGUCAGGGAACAAGGCACCGUCUUUUGGUGGUGUUGAGGGUACCUGGAUAAGAAGCGCCGGCUAACUACGUGCCAGCAGCCGCGGUAAUACGUAGGGCGCAAGCGUUGUCCGGAAUUAUUGGGCGUAAAGAGCUCGUAGGCGGCUGGUCGCGUCUGUCGUGAAAACUUCCGGCUCAACCGGGGGCUUGCGGUGGGUACGGGCCGGCUAGAGUGCGGUAGGGGUAACUGGAACUCCUGGUGUAGCGGUGGAAUGCGCAGAUAUCAGGAAGAACACCGAUGGCGAAGGCAGGUUACUGGGCCGUUACUGACGCUGAGGAGCGAAAGCGUGGGGAGCGAACAGGAUUAGAUACCCUGGUAGUCCACGCUGUAAACGUUGGGCACUAGGUGUGAGGCUCCUUUCCGGGGGUUUUGCGCCGUAGCUAACGCAUUAAGUGCCCCGCCUGGGGAGUACGGCCGCAAGGCUA